AAACGACUCUCGGCAACGGAUAUCUCGGCUCUCGCAUCGAUGAAGAACGCAGCGAAAUGCGAUACUUGGUGUGAAUUGCAGAAUCCCGCGAACCAUCGAGUCUUUGAACGCAAGUUGCGCCCAAAGCCAUUCGGCCGAGGGCACGUCUGCCUGGGUGUCACGC
rnacentral:rRNA from 2 species